rnacentral:rRNA from 1 species
AUACGGAGGGUCCAAGCGUUAUUCGGAAUCAUUGGGUUUAAAGGGUCCGCAGGCGGUCAAUUAAGUCAGAGGUGAAAGCCCAUCGCUCAACGAUGGAACUGCCUUUGAUACUGGUUGACUUGAGUUAUACGGAAGUAGAUAGAAUAAGUAGUGUAGCGGUGAAAUGCAUAGAUAUUACUUAGAAUACCGAUUGCGAAGGCAGUCUACUACGUAUAUACUGACGCUGAGGGACGAAAGCGUGGGGAGCGAACAGGAUUAGAUACCCUAGUAGUCC